CUUUGCACAGCACCACCUUUUUGCACAGCAGGACCUUUCCACAGCCCCUUGUACAGCACCUUGCACAGCUCCUUGCACAGCCUCACCUUUGCACAGCACCUUGCACAGCAGGGCCUUUGCACAGCACCAGCUCCUUGCACAGAUCCUUGCACAGCUCCUUGCACAGCCUGACCUUUGCACAGCACCUUGCACAGCUCCUUGCACAGCUCUUUGCACAGCUCCUUGCACAGCCAGGCCUUUGCACAGCACCAGCUCCUUGCACAGCUCCUUGCACAGCAGGGCCUUUGCCUGGCACCGCUCAGCCCUGCAGGGAAGCUGAGGCACAGGCCGCCCCCUUGCACCCCAUAACCUGCUGCCCCCUUUUGCUUUUCGUUGCAGAGUGUUCAAGAAAGCGAGUCCCAACGGGAAGCUCACGGUGUACCUGGGCAAGAGGGACUUUGUGGACCACAUCGACGUGGUGGAUCCCGUGGACGGAGUGGUGCUGGUUGAUCCUGAGUACCUGAAGGAGAGGAAAGGUAACGGCCCCAUCACGAUGUCCCCGAGGUUGGGGACAUGGAGGUGGCACCCGGGGCUUUGCUGGGCCCUUGGCUGAGGGUUUCUGGGUGCCCAAGCUUGUGUCCCCAUCCCACUGCCACGUGGGGCAGUGCCACCUGUCCCCAACUGUCACAGCACGUCCUGGGAGCCACCACCUCUUCCCGGUGCCCCCUCUGCUGCUCCUGGUGGGGUUGGGACGCGCCGUGAUGCCACCACACCACGGAGCCACCGUGCCACAAUGUCACCGUGCCCCUGUGUCACCGUGCCGUGGUAUCGCAGUGUCACGGUGCCAUGCCAAAGUGACACUGUGCCACGACAGGUGCCUUGUCACCGUGCCACUGUGUUCUUGUGUCACAGUGCCACUGUGCCACCGUGCCGUGGUGCCUCAGUGCUGUGAUGCCACCGUACCGUUGUGCCACUGUGCCGUCAUAUCAUGUUGCCACACUGCUGUAAUGCCACCGUGUCGCGGUGCCACCAUACCACUGGGCCACAGUGCCACGAUGCCACCAUCUUGUGAUGCCACUGUGCCAUGGUGCCAUGAUCCCAUGGUGCCACCAUACCACUGGGCCACUGUGCCGUGGUGCCACCAUGCCGUUGUGCCAUGGUCCCUUGGUAGCAUGGUGCCACCCUACCACUGUGGCCACGAUGCCACCAUGUCAUGAUGCCACCAUAUCACAUCACCACCAUGUCGUGGUGCCAUCAUGCCAUGG